GUCGACACCAUGUUAGAAGUAGCCUGUGUCUUGCUGGCUCUGCGGAAUUUUACAAAUGAAUAUGUGAAAUCAGUUUUAGAAGUACUUUUACGUAGGAGGUGGCAGAGGCAGGAAGUCAGUCAUGUACUCCGGCUGUGUGGGAGGUAAAAAAACAGGGACUUCGUGGUAAUUCAAAAAACAUCAAACACAAGGAAGCUGACAUCUGUAGGUUUUUGUGUUCCUGUCUUCCAAGGGAUGAAGUGAAGUAUUAAAUGUAGUGAUGAGUGGAGUUUGAUGUUCCUACUCAUGGUUCUAACAGGUUCUAAGGCAAAAUGCAUUUAGUAUUCAACAAUGCAUAAACAAUAAAGGGUCACUUGUGAGACUCCUUGUUUUAGAUUGCAAAAUGCCUGGAUCAUUAUGACUUUGCCCUUUGUUGAAAUUAAA